AUUUCGGUUAUGCUACAGGUUCUUUUUUAUCCUUUUCAUCUGGUGCAGAAUUUCAUGUUGGUUUGGUUGAAUUGUUUGGAAAGUUUAUGAAGCUGUUGCGGUUCGGUUCGAAUUUUGUGGGUAAGAGAUGGAGUUUUCUGCUAAAAAUUUGUAUUGUGUGGAGCUACAAGUAUUUUAUUGUAGGUGCAACUGGUUUGUUCAUGGACAUGUAGCUUUGUUUUGGUUUCAAAGUGAAUUUUUGUGCUGGUCCGAUUUAAGUAACUGCUCAGAGGAAUAAAUUGUUGGUUGAAACAAUAUAUCGAUAUCGAAUGUUGGCAAGUUGGUUGAUAGUUAUCUUGGAGAGAUUGUACAUGAUCCAAAUCUCAGCCUCUCAAAUUUUGUUGAUUUAUCAC